rnacentral:rRNA from 1 species
UGAAACCGUUCAGGGGUAAACCUGAGAAACCCGAAAGUUCGAACGGGGAGAUUCAACCGCGUGUCGGGCGAGGAGGAGCGGGGGACGGGCGACGGGCGGCGUUCGCGCACGCCCGCGUCGUCCUCUCGCCGUCCGGCCCGAACGCGUGCACUUCUCCCCUUGUAGGACGUCGCGACCCGUUGGGCGCCGGUCUAAGGCCCGCGGAGGAGACCGCGCGCGCUCGUCGCGCGCGGACCCGCGGAGUCCCGGCCGGCCCGACAGACGGUACGACAGAGGCGCUGGGCCGCGACUCGCUCGCGUUCGGCCCGCCGCAAGCACGGACGGCAAACCCGACGUCCGGACCGAGUGCCGGACCCGGGCCCGCCCGGCUGCUGGCGGCGGCGCUCUCGGACAGACCCACGGCGCGCCCGUCGGCGACGCUAUAGCUUCGGGUACUUUCAGGACCCGUCUUGAAACACGGACCA